AUUGAACGCUGGCGGCAGGCCUAACACAUGCAAGUCGAGCGGAUGAAGGGAGCUUGCUCCUGGCUUCAGCGGCGGACGGGUGAGUAAUGCCUAGGAAUCUGCCCGGCCGUGGGGGAUAACGUCCGGUAACGGGCGCUAAUACCGCAUACGUCCUGAGGUAGAACGUGGGGGAUCUUCGGACCUCACGCUAUCAGAUGACCCUAGGUCGGAUUAGCUAGUUGGUGGGGUAAAGGCCUACCAAGGCGACGAUCCGUAACUGGUCUGAGAGGAUGAUCAGUCACACUGGAACUGAGACACGGUCCAGACUCCUACGGGAGGCAGCAGUGGGGAAUAUUGGACAAUGGGCGAAAGCCUGAUCCAGCCAUGCCGCGUGUGUGAAGAAGGUCUUCGGAUUGUAAAGCACUUUAAGUUGGGAAGAAGGGCAGUAAGUUAAUACCUUGCUGUUUUGACGUUACCAACAGAGUAAGCACCGGCUAACUUCGUG
rnacentral:rRNA from 1 species